rnacentral:rRNA from 1 species
GAUGAACGCUGGCGGCGUGCCUAAUACAUGCAAGUCGAGCGAACAGACGAGGAGCUUGCUCCUCUGACGUUAGCGGCGGACGGGUGAGUAACACGUGGAUAACCUACCUAUAAGACUGGGAUAACUUCGGGAAACCGGAUCUAAUACCGGAUAAUAUAUUGAACCGCAUGGUUCAAUAGUGAAAGACGGUUUUGCUGUCACUUAUAGAUGGAUCCGCGCCGCAUUAGCUAGUUGGUAAGGUAACGGCUUACCAAGGCAACGAUGCGUAGCCGACCUGGGAGGGUGAACGGCCACACUGGAACUGAGACACGGUCCCGACUCCUACGGGAGGCCGCAGUAGGGAAUCUUCCGCAAUGGGCGAAAGCCUGACGGAGCAACGCCGCGUGAGUGAUGAAGGUCUUCGGAUCGUAAAACUCUGUUAUUCGGGAAGAACAAAUGUGUAAGUAACUAUGCACGUCUUGACGGUACCUAAUCAGAAAGGCACGGCUAAAUACGUG